rnacentral:rRNA from 1 species
ACACAUGCAAGUCGAACGGUAGCAGGUAAGUACUUGUACUUAUGCUGACGAGUGGCGGACGGGUGAGUAAUGCUUGGGGAUCUGGCUUAUGGAGGGGGAUAACGACGGGAAACUGUCGCUAAUACCGCGUAGAAUCGAGAGAUGAAAGUGUGGGACCUUCGGGCCACAUGCCAUAGGAUGAACCCAAGUGGGAUUAGGUAGUUGGUAGGGUAAUGGCCUACCAAGCCGACGAUCCCUAGCUGGUCUGAGAGGAUGACCAGCCACACCGGGACUGAGACACGGCCCGGACUCCUACGGGAGGCAGCAGUGGGGAAUAUUGCGCAAUGGGGGCAACCCUGACGCAGCCAUGCCGCGUGAAUGAAGAAGGCCUUCGGGUUGUAAAGUUCUUUCGGUGACGAGGAAGGCGUGAUGUUUAAUAGGCAUCACGAUUGACGUUAAUCACAGAAGAAGCACCGGCUAACUCCGUGCCAGCAGCCGCGGUAAUACGGAGGGUGCGAGCGUUAAUCGGAAUAACUGGGCGUAAAGGGCACGCAGGCGGACUUUUAAGUGAGGUGUGAAAUCCCCGGGCUUAACCUGGGAAUUGCAUUUCAGACUGGGGGUCUAGAGUACUUUAGGGAGGGGUAGAAUUCCACGUGUAGCGGUGAAAUGCGUAGAGAUGUGGAGGAAUACCGAAGGCGAAGGCAGCCCCUUGGGAAUG